rnacentral:rRNA from 1 species
GAUGAACGCUGACAGAAUGCUUAACACAUGCAAGUCUACUUGAAUUUGGGUUUUUUAACUUAGAUUUGGGUGGCGGACGGGUGAGUAACGCGUAAAGAACUUGCCUCACAGCUAGGGACAACAUUUGGAAACGAAUGCUAAUACCUGAUAUUAUGAUUUUAAGGCAUCUUAAAAUUAUGAAAGCUAUAUGCGCUGUGAGAGAGCUUUGCGUCCCAUUAGCUAGUUGGAGAGGUAACGGCUCACCAAGGCGAUGAUGGGUAGCCGGCCUGAGAGGGUGAACGGCCACAAGGGGACUGAGACACGGCCCUUACUCCUACGGGAGGCAGCAGUGGGGAAUAUUGGACAAUGGACCAAGAGUCUGAUCCAGCAAUUCUGUGUGCACGAUGACGUUUUUCGGAAUGUAAAGUGCUUUCAGUUGGGAAGAAAAAAAUGACGGUACCAACAGAAGAAGUGACGGCU